AACGAACGCUGGCGGCAGGCCUAACACAUGCAAGUCGAGCGAGGACUUCGGUCCUAGCGGCGGACGGGUGAGUAACGCGUGGGAACGUGCCCUUUGCUUCGGAAUAGCCCUGGGAAACUGGGAGUAAUACCGGAUGAGCCCUUUGGGGGAAAGAUUUAUCGGCGAAGGAUCGGCCCGCGUUGGAUUAGGUAGUUGGUGGGGUAAUGGCCUACCAAGCCGACGAUCCAUAGCUGGUUUGAGAGGCUGAUCAGCCACACUGGGACUGAGACACGGCCCAGACUCCUACGGGAGGCAGCAGUGGGGAAUCUUAGACAAUGGGGGAAACCCUGAUCUAGCCAUGCCGCGUGAGCGAUGAAGGCCUUAGGGUUGUAAAGCUCUUUCAGCUGGGAAGAUAAUGACGGUACCAGCAGAAGAAGCCCCGGCUAACUCCGUG
rnacentral:rRNA from 1 species